AAAGGCAUCGCGAAAUAUUGCCUUGGAGAAGACGAAAACCCCUAAAUCCUCCAUUAAUACGACCUCAAUCCUCUCCCUUUUACACACCAGAGAUCCUGAUUCUGCCUCUUCCACACUCUUCAUUCCCUUUCUUCUUCACCCAAAAUGUUUAGGAAUCAGUACGAUACGGACGUCACGACAUGGAGUCCCGCCGGGAGGUUGUUUCAGGUGGAGUACGCGAUGGAGGCCGUCAAGCAAGGCUCCGCCGCCAUUGGCCUCCGAUCCAAGACCCAUG
rnacentral:misc_RNA from 1 species